GGAGUUAGCCGGUGCUUCUUCUGUGAGUGAUGUCCUUCCUGCCGGCUAUUAACCCGCAGGCCUUCUUCCUCACUGAAAGUGCUUUACAACCCGAAGGCCUUCUUCACACACGCGGCAUGGCUGGAUCAGGGUUGCCCCCAUUGUCCAAUAUUCCCCACUGCUGCCUCCCGUAGGAGUCUGGGCCGUGUCUCAGUCCCAGUGUGGCUGAUCAUCCUCUCAGACCAGCUACGGAUCGUCGCCUUGGUGAGCCGUUACCUCACCAACCAGCUAAUCCGACAUAGGCUCAUCCGAUAGCGCGAGGCCCGAAGGUCCCCCGAUUUCCCCCGUAGGGCGUAUGCGGUAUUAGCCUGGGUUUCCCCAGGUUAUCCCCCACUACCGGGCAGAUUCCUAUGCAUUACUCACCCGUCCGCCGCUCGCCACCAGGGAGCAAGCUCCCCGUGCUGCCGCUCGACUUGCAUGUGUUAGGCCUGCCGCCAGCGUUCAAUCUGAGCCAGAAUCAACUCUGA
rnacentral:rRNA from 1 species